GCCCGCGCAGCUCGAGUGGACGAGCCCCCGUCUUGUAAACGGGAAGGUUCCGGUUCGAAUCCGGACACGGGCU
rnacentral:tRNA from 1 species